CCUUCAACCCAGCGAGACCCAGAAACAAAAUCGCGCGGCAGCCUCGCGCGUGUUCUCUUCCUCUCUCUGUUUUAAAAGUAUAUUUCAAAUUAAAUCCAGGUGGAGCUAUUUCGCGCUUGCUUCCUCAUUUUCUCAAAAAUCAAUAUCCUCCAUUCAAAUCCGUUGAGAAUCGAGUCAGUCCUCCAAGAAAAUUUCAAAUUUCAAAUUUGAAAUUCACCCAAUUCUUCACCCGUUUCCCCCCUAAUUUCUGCCCCAAAUCCUCUCCUGGAGAUUUUUUUACACUGACUAAGGCACAAAUUUCUUAUUCCAAGAACAACAAUUUCAUCCUCUAAUACUAUAAGUUUAGAAAGGGGAAAAUCCCUAUAACAUCUUAGUUAAUUUAGAAGUAAAAGUUUACAAGUCUUGGUUGGUCGAAUUUGAAGGCAUUUCCGGCGAGAUUCCGUUGGUGGUGAGUUAGUUGCCUCAAAGUUCAUUGUCUCAGUCCGCUGCAUGCAUCCAGAAAGGAUGUUAAAGAAAUUUUGGAGCUUCUUCAAGUCCAUAUGGCGUAUUUUGGGAAUCACAGAAACCAUCCACUACAUGUGCUAUGCUUGGUUAUUAUUUCGACAGUUUGUCAUCACGGGAGAGCAAAUGAUCUUGCAAUAUGUCAUUGAACAGUUAAAAAAAAUACCAUUAAAGGAACAAAGGUGACCGCAAGAGAGAAUGCACUUGAAGAGUUUGCAUUGUAGAGUUGAAAGGGAAAGGGGAUUCCAAGAGUUGACUUUCUUGCAGUCUUUCUUGUUGCCAAUUUCAAAAUGGGCUGAUAAGUAGUUGGGAGACUACCAUCUCAAUUAUGAUGAGGGGUUGGUGAUUAUGGAAAACACUGUGGCAGUUGCUAUGCUUGUUCUCGAAGGCUUCUUCUAGAAGAACCUGAAACGGUAUGUGAGACUACCUACCUUUUCUGGUGAACUAUUUUAAGUUUGUUCUGGGAAAUCAAAUCAUAUGUUAUAUGUGCUGUCUGUGCAUUCACUAUAAACCAUAAGAUUUACAUACGUGGCCAUUCUUUCUUGCCUCUACUUCCAACUCCUGGCCAGCUAUUCGGGACCUCCACAUUAGUCUUUGGCGUCGCCCAGCUAAUCCCCAGAAUGCACAGAAACGUAUCCACAACCUUGCAGCUGUUUGACAGUGAAUAAACAGAUGAUUGUUUACCUCAUCUUCUUGUUCACACAUAAAGCAUCUCGAACAUAUAUGUUAGCCUCUUUUCUGUAAAGCUUCAUGAGUAAGGCAUGCUUUCCUAAUCAAUAGCCAAACAAAACACGUGACUUUCAAUGGACAUUUCACCUUCCAAAUUAGUUUCCAUGGCCAUCUCUCAGUCAAUGAAAUAUUAUAGUUCAUCUUCCAAUAGCAUGACUUCAAUGUGUAGAGUUGGGGCAGUGCUUGUUCAAAAACUAGUUAAAUUAGUUUCUUCAGUUGGUAGAAGAUCCUAACUGUAAAGUGCAACUCUAUGAUCAGUUAGAUUAAUUUCUUCAGAUAUUAGAGGACCCUAACUAUGAACAACAUCCGUACGCAAAAUGUGGCUCUUUAAAAUCUGUUCUCUAUUCUUGAAUCUUCAUUUUCUAUUUCUUAGCUACAUUUCAUUGUGAAAUCUUCAUUCUAUACAGCCUAAGGACAUCUUCAACCCUCUUCUCUAUUUUACUGUCCAAAUAUAGAGUUCUCUAUUUUCAACCAACUCCAACCCAAUUCUCUAUUUUACUCUCUAAAAAAGAAUCUUCUUCUCUCUCCUCAAUAUCGCAUAUCGCAUAUCACAUAUCAUAUAUCGCGUAUCGCAUAUAGCAUAUUGCAUAUCGCAUAACGCAUAUAGCAUAUCGCAUAGCGCAUAUCGCAUGUCGCAUAUAGCAUAUCGCUAGGGGUAUACAAAACCGAACUGAAAACUGAAUCAAACCGCAACCGAGUCUAACCGAAAAAACCCAACUAAUGGUUUUGUUUGACUUGAUUUAGUAUUGGAAAAAAAUCGGACUAUACUUGGGUUGGUUUAAUUUUAACUAAAAAAAGUCAACUCGAGACCAAACC